ensembl:lncRNA
CCGGAAGUGCAAGCAUUUCGGAGGUCCAGAGCGUCGGUUUUGGGUACGCUGUUACUCUUUCAUUCACCCAACUGACAAUCCUCGGGUGCUUUGAUAGGGAGAUGAUCGAGGCGCAGCCUGUGUCCGCAUACAGGACUAUAGGACUGGGUGACAGGUGCCGUGCUUCACGGUACGGGAUGCUGUACCUCCAAGGAGCCGAAGGGAUGGCAGGAAGCGCUCCUGGAAGGGCAACAACCCUGGGCCCCGCAGUGCCCGCCACGUGGGCUCGCGAGUAUUUGGUGGAUGGGGCCUGCUGCUGGCAGAGCGUCGCGAGUAGAAGGGGGAUUCCGCGCGGAAGAAAGGCGGCCGGCCUGAAACCGUCUGCGCGUGCAGGAUCUUGAGUGCCCGGAGCUGAAGCUGGAAGGCUUGAAGCCCCAUCUUUCCUAUUUGAAAAGGCAGCAGAAACCUAGUGAAGAGCAGGACUUGGGUGCAAAUCCCAGUUCCUGCGCU